rnacentral:rRNA from 1 species
UACAGAGGGUGCGAGCGUUAAUCGGAAUUACUGGGCGUAAAGGGCGCGUAGGCGGCAAUUCAAGUCAUCUGUGAAAUCUCCGGGCUUAACUCGGAACUGUCAGAUGAUACUGCUUUGCUAGAGUGCAGAAGGGGCAAUCGGAAUUCUUGGUGUAGCGGUGAAAUGCGUAGAUAUCAAGAGGAACACCUGAGGUGAAGACGGGUUGCUGGGCUGACACUGACGCUGAGGCGCGAAAGCCAGGGGAGCAAACGGG